CUAUCCUCAAGGGUCUAUAAAUUGGUUGAGGCCAAGCCACAUUAAGUUCACACAACAAUCUUGUCUUCACCUUAAUUGUGUUAAGAAAAACAUGGCCUCAUACUCAUCCUCAAAGACUUUUCUUCUUCUUGGCUUUAUGUUUGCUCUUGUGAUCCUCAUUUCCUCUGAGGUCUCAGCUCGUGAGCUAGUGGAAAUUACGAAGCCAGCAACCUAUAUUGGGUUUACACCCUUCACACCAGGACGCGGUCCAGUCAUCAAAUGCGGCCGUCGUCCGUAUUCUGAAUGCCUACCUCCGAGAGGGGCCCCCCAGCCUCCGGCCUCGGGAGAGUAUAGGCAUGGCCAAAGCCACCAUGAAAAACAAGGACCCGGUGUUGCUGAGACUGAAACUGGGAAUUAAAUAGAUAAUCCUUUUUCAGUGGUUUGUUUUAUCAAUUAUAAGGUUAAUGUAAUGUAUUAGUUGAGUUGUUAAUAAAACUCUCAAUCAUAAUUAAUUAUAAUUUUAAGGUUUAUCUUUGUACUAGUACUCAUAUCAUAUUGUGUCUAAGAUAUGUGGCUUUCUAUCUUUAUACAUACGUUUGAAAUCUAUCCAUAAUGUGUGUAUCAAUGAAAAUCUCUCCAAGAGUAAUUAUAUGUUGAUGGAAGUUUUAAAA